rnacentral:rRNA from 1 species
CCUACGGGUGGCAGCAGUGAGGAAUAUUGGUCAAUGGGCGGAAGCCUGAACCAGCCAAGUAGCGUGCAGGAUGACGGCCCUACGGGUUGUAAACUGCUUUUAUACGGGAAUAACGCGCCUUACGUGUAGGGCUUUGCAUGUACCGUAUGAAUAAGGACCGGCUAAUUCCGUGCCAGCAGCCGCGGUAAUACGGAAGGUCCGGGCGUUAUCCGGAUUUAUGGGGUUGAAAGGGAGCGUAGGCGGCAUGGCAAGCGUGCUGUGAAAUGUCCGGGCUCAACCCGGGCCUUGCAGCGCGAACUGGCGUGCUUGAGUCCGCGGCAAGCAGGCGGACUUCGUCGUGUAGCGGUUACAUGCUUAGAUAUGACGCAGAACCCCGAUUGCGCCGGCAGCUUGCUGCAGCGGAACUGACGCUGAUGCUCGCAAGCGCGGGUAUCGAACAGGAUUAGAUACCCCAGUAGUC